rnacentral:rRNA from 1 species
GUUAUCCGGAUUCACUGGGUUUAAAGGGUGCGUAGGUGGGCAGGUAAGUCAGUGGUGAAAUCUCCGGGCUUAACCCGGAAACUGCCAUUGAUACUAUCUGUCUUGAAUACCGUGGAGGUGAGCGGAAUAUGUCAUGUAGCGGUGAAAUGCUUAGAUAUGACAUAGAACACCAAUUGCGAAGGCAGCUCACUACACGAAUAUUGACACUGAGGCACGAAAGCGUGGGGAUCAAACAGG